rnacentral:rRNA from 1 species
CGGAUUGUAGUCUGCAACUCGACUACAUGAAGCUGGAAUCGCUAGUAAUCGCGAAUCAGCAUGUCGCGGUGAAUACGUUCCCGGGUCUUGUACACACCGCCCGUCACACCAUGGGAGUCGGUAACGCCCGAAGUCAGUGACCCAACCGAAAGGAGGGAGCUGCCGAAGGCGGGACUGGUAACUGGGGUGAAGUCGUAACAAGGUACC